CCUACGGGAGACAGCAGUGAGGAAUAUUUGUCAAUGGACGAGAGUCUGAACCCGCCAAGUAGCGUGAAGGAUGACUGCCCUAUGGGUUGUAACCUUCUUUUAUCAAGGCAUAAAACGCGGCACGUGUGCCUUUUUGCAUGUACUUUAUGAAUAAGGAUCGGCUACCUCCGUGCCAGCAGCCGCGGGAAUACGGCGGAUCCGAGCGUUAUCCGGAUUUAUUGGGUUUAAAGGGAGCGUAGAUGGGUUUUUAAGUCAGUUGUGAAAGUUUGCGGAUCAACCGUAAAAUUGCAAUUGAUACUGGCAGUCUUGAGUACAGUUGAGGUAGGCGGAAUUCGUGGUGUAGCGGUGAAAUGCUUAGAUAUCACGAAGAACCCCGAUUGCGAAGGCAGCUUACUAAACUGUGACUGACAUUGAUGCUCGAAAGUGUGGGUAUCAAACAGGAUUAGAUACCCUUGUAGUC
rnacentral:rRNA from 1 species